GAGGCCCGCUAUCGGAAUGGGUACAAUUUAAACCCUUUAACGAGGACCUAUGAGAGGGCAAGUCUGGUGCCAGCAGCCGCGGUAAUUCCAGCUCUCAAGGUGUAUAUCGCCAUUGCUGCGGUUAAAAAGCUCGUAGUUGGAUCUGCGCCUUCGGACUCGGUCCUCCCAACGGGUGCGAACUGAGCUCCAAGGCUACUACUGCUGGUUUUCCCUUGAUGCUCUUCACUGGGUGUCUUGGGUGGCUAGCGAGUUUACUUUGAAAAAAUUAGAGUGCUCAAAACAGGCUAUUGCCUGAAUACCGGUGCAUGGAAUAAUAGAAUAGGAUCUCGGUCCUAUUUUGUUGGUUUUCGGAACUGAGAUAAUGGUUAAGAGGGACAGACGGGGGCAUUCGUAUCGCUGCGUGAGAGGUGAAAUUCUUGGACCGCAGCGAGACGCCCAACUGCGAAAGCAUUUGCCAAGAAUGUCUUCGUUAAUCAAGAACGAAAGUCAGAGGUUCGAAGGCGAUCAGAUACCGCCCUAGUUCUGACUGUAAACGAUGCCAACUAGCGAUCCGCCGGUGGUAAUUACGCCCCGGCGGGGAGCUUCCCGGAAACGAAAGUCUUCCGGUUCCGGGGGAAGUAUGGUUGCAAAGCUGAAACUUAAAGGAAUUGACGGAAGGGCACCACCAGGAGUGGAGCUUGCGGCUUAAUUUGACCCAACACGGGAAAACUCACCCGGCCCGGACACCGUAAGGAUUGACAGAUUGAGAGCUCUUUCUUGAUUCGGUGGUUGGUGGUGCAUGGCCGUUCUUAGUUGGUGGAGCGAUUUGUCUGGUUUAUUCCGAUAACGAACGAGACUCUGGCCUACUAACUAGUGACAGAAUUAUUGCUGUUCUGGUUACUUCUUAGAGGGACAAGUGGUGUUCAGCCACACGAAAUUGAGCAAUAACAGGUCUGUGAUGCCCUUAGAUGUCCGGGGCUGCACGCGUGCUACACUGGAGGAAACAGCAUGCAAAACCAUUGCCGAGAGGCAUUGGUAAACCCAAGAAAAUCUUCCGUGAUCGGGAUCGGGAAUUGCAAUUAUUUCCCUUGAACGAGGAAUUCCCAGUAAGUGUGGGUCAUCAGCUCGCGCUGAUUACGUCCCUGCCCUUUGUACACACCGCCCGUCGCUGCCCGGGACUGAGCCGUUUCGAGAAAAGCGGGGACUGCUGCUGUUGGGGCUUUCGGGCCUUGGCUUCGGUGGAAACCGCUU
rnacentral:rRNA from 1 species